rnacentral:rRNA from 1 species
CCGUGACAGCAUCAUACACAUGCAAGUCGAACGGUGAAGCAGGACCUUGCUCUUGUGGAUCCGUGGCAAAGGGGUGAAUAACACAUGAACAACCUGCCCCUGACUCUGGGAUAAUCGCUGGAAACGGCGUCUAAUACUGGAUAUGUGACGUGACCGCAUGGUCUGCGUUUGGAAAGAUUUUUCGGUUGGGGAUGGGCUCGCAGCCUAUCAUCUUGUUGGUGAGGUAAUGGCUCACCAAGGCGUCGACGGGUAGCCGGCCUGAGAGGGUGACCGGCCACACUGGGACUGAGACACGGCCCAUACUCCUACGGGAGGCAGCAGUGGGGAAUAUUGCACAAUGGGCGAAAGCCUGAUGCACCAACGCCGCGUGAGGGAUGACCGCCUUCGGGUUGUAAACCUCUUUUAACAGGGAACAAUCGAAAGUGACGGUACCUGCAUAAAAAGCCCCGGCUAACUACCUGCCACCAACCUCGGUAAUACGUAGGGCGCAAGCGUUAUCCGGAAUUAUUGGGCGUAAAGAGCUCGUACGCGGUUUGACCACCGGACGCGCGGUGAAAUCCCUAGGCUCAACCUCGUGGCCUGCAGUGCGUUCACAGAGCACACUAGAGUGACGGUAAGCGAGAUUGGAAUUACAUGGCUGUAGCAAUCGGAAUGCAGCAGAUAUCAAGGAGGAAACAACCGACUGGCGAAGGACAGCACCUCUCUGGACCCGUAAACUGACGAUGAGGGAGCGAAAGGCUGAGGGAGCAAACACGCAUUAGAUACCAUCGUAGUCCACCCCCGUAAAACGAUUGGGAACUAAUUCGUGGGGUCCAUAUCCCACUGGAGUCUCUGUGACAGCAGCCUAACGCAUUAAGCUUCACCCGACCUAGGGGAGUACCGGCCGGCAGAAGCUAAUGAAACUUCAAAGGAAAUUGACACCUGAGAGUAGCCACGUCGACCAGCGGCGGAGCCUGCGGAUUAAUUUGAUGCAACGCGAAGAACCUUACCAAGGCUUGAAAUAUACGAGAACGGGCCAGAAAUGGUCAACUCUUUUGACAAUCUUAAACAGGUGGUGCAUGGUUGUGUUCAGAUCGUGUCUUGAGAUGUUGGGUUAAGUCCCGCAACGAGCGCAACCCUCUUUUUAUUUUGCCAGCACGUAAUGGUGGGAACUCAUGGGAUAGAGCCGGGGUCAACUAGGAGGAAGGGGGGGAGGAGGUCAAAUCUUCAUGCCCCCUAUGUGUUGGGCUUCACGCAUGCUACAAUGGCCGGUACAAAGGGGUGCAAUACCGUGAGGUGGAGAGAAUCCCAAAAAGCCGGUCCCAGUUUGGAUUGAGGUCUGCAACUCGACCUCAUGAAGUCGGAGUCGCUAGUAAUCGCAGAUCAGCAACGGUGCGGUGAAUAAGUUCCCGGGUCUUGUACACACCGCCCGUCAAGUCAUGAAAGUCGGUAACACCCGAAGCCGGUGGCUUAACCCUUGUGGAGGGAGCCGUCGAAGGUGGGAUUUGGUAAUUAGGAGUAAGUU